rnacentral:snRNA from 1 species
AUCGCUUCUCGGCCUUUUGGCUAAGAUCAAGUGUAAAAGGGAGUUGGUUUUGAUUCAUACCUGAAAGCUUUCUUAAACACAGCAUCUGUUAAGAAAUCGUAAUAGAAAUGUUCAUCAGCUGUUCACUAGAUGUUGGAUGAUUUGCAUGCAGGGCCCAUUGUGCCUGUGAAGCCAGCUUCACUAUCUUGCCAAACACAGAACCAAA